rnacentral:snRNA from 1 species
UUGCUUGCUUCGGCAGCACAUAUGCUAAAGUUGGAAUGAUACAGAGAAGAUUAGCAAGGCCUCU